CCAGACUCCUACGGGAGGCAGCAGUGGGGGAUAUUGCACAAUGGGGGGAACCCUGAUGCAGCGACGCCGCGUGGGUGAAGGAGUGCUUCGGCAUGUAAAGCCCUAUCGGCAGGGAAGAAGCAAGACGGUACCUGACUAAGAAGCCCCGGCUAACUACGUGCCAGCAGCCGCGGUAAUACGUAGGGGGCGAGCGUUAUCCGGAUUUACUGGGUGUAAAGGGAGCGUAGACGGCGAUGCAAGUCUGAAGUGAAAGGCGGGGGCCCAACCCCCGGACUGCUUUGGAAACUGUAUAGCUGGAGUGCAGGAGAGGUAAGUGGAAUUCCUAGUGUAGCGGUGAAAUGCGUAGAUAUUAGGAGGAACACCAGUGGCGAAGGCGGUCUGCUGGACAGCAACUGACGCUGAGGCGCGAAAGCGUGGGGAGCAAACAGGAUUAGAUACCCUGGUA
rnacentral:rRNA from 1 species